UACAGAGGGGGCAAGCGUUGUUCGGAAUUACUGGGCGUAAAGGGCGCGUAGGCGGCCUGUUAAGUCGAACGUGAAAUCCCCGGGCUCAACCCGGGAACUGCGUCCGAUACUGGCAGGCUUGAAUUCGGGAGAGGGAUGUGGAAUUCCAGGUGUAGCGGUGAAAUGCGUAGAUAUGACAUAGAACACCAAUUGCGAAGGCAGCUUACUACACAGUUAUUGACGCUGAGGCACGAAAGCGUGGGGAUCAAACAGG
rnacentral:rRNA from 1 species